GACGAACGCUGGCGGCGUGCUUAACACAUGCAAGUCGAGCGGAGCGGCGAACGGGUGAGUAACGGGUGAGUAACUGCCCCCCCCUCAGGGAUAACAGUUGGAAACGGCUGCUAAUACCGGAUCGUGGUGGUUGAUUUGCGUCUUAUCAGCUUGUUGGUGGGGUAGUGGCCUACCAAGGCGCCGCCGGGUAGCCGGCCUGAGAGGGCGACCGGCCACAUUGGGCUGGGAUACGGCCCAAACGCCUACGGGAGGCAGCAGUGGGGAAUAGUGCACAAUGGGGGAAACCCUGAUGCAGCAACGCCGCGUGCGGGAUGACGGCCUUCGGGUUGUAAACCGCGUUCAGCCAUGACGCGGUAGUGGCAGAAGAAGCACCGGCUAACUACGUGCCAGCAGCCGCGGUAAUUC
rnacentral:rRNA from 1 species